UACGUAGGGUGCGAGCGUUAAUCGGAAUUACUGGGCGUAAAGCGUGCGCAGGCGGUUUGCUAAGACCGAUGUGAAAUCCCCGGGCUUAACCUGGGAACUGCAUUGGUGACUGGCAAGCUAGGGUGUGGCAGAGGGGGGUAGAAUUCCACGUGUAGCAGUGAAAUGCGUAGAGAUGUGGAGGAAUACCGAUGGCGAAGGCAGCCCCCUGGGCUAACACUGACGCUCAUGCACGAAAGCGUGGGGAGCAAACAGG
rnacentral:rRNA from 1 species